UUCCAAGGAGCAACAAUGGAAAAGCCUGCAGGCAGGAAAAAGAAGACACAGGCCCCAAAGGAGGAAGCAGGUGUGCAAAAGGCUACUGUCAAAGGAGAGAAAGCAGCAAGGGUGAAAAAGCCGACCAAGAGAGGAAGAAACCCUAUGAGUGUAGUGAAUGUGGACGAAUCUUUAAACACAAAACAGAUCACAUUCGCCACCAGAGAGUUCAUACUGGAGAGAAGCCUUUUAAGUGUGACCAGUGUGGGAAGACCUUCAGGCACAGUUCAGAUGUCACCAAACAUCUGAGAAUUCAUACCGGACAGGGACCAGACACAGCAUGCCAUGUAGAAUGCCAAAUACUCAGCUCAGGUUGGCCCUGGAAGACACCUGCCGCAGUGCCUGGGUGGCAGAGUCCAGUCUUUCCUCCAGCAGACAGGCUGCCAGUACAGAUCUCCCCAGCAAGACGCUCAGAGAAGUCAAGAUAGUCAGGUCUACUUCCACCACAGAGCCCUGCAGAUGCCCACUGGGGCCAUACACUAGGGAGGCUGUCAUCACAGAAUCUAUUGGCAACAGGAAAGCCGUAGGUGGUUAAACUCAGGGAGGCCUUUAGGACACCAUGUGGUGACUACAGGGCACUUUCACUUGUGCCUACCCUGCAGUUAAGGUGGCCACAUACAUUCAUGAGUGACCAUUAAUUCUGGCUCACUGUCAGCCUACUGGAGAAUCCCCAGCACCAGCUCUUUACUUCAGUGAGAUACUGUGAACAGCCAUUUGGAUCAGACUAAAUGUUCAGAACCUUCUAGAUGUCUUGAGACUUGUCCUGGGUCAGUGAAGAGUACUUCAUUGAUGCAUUGGGAUUCCAAUUACAAAAGCUUACUCAACUUCAGUCAGAAGUUUCCGAGAAGUCCAAAGCAGCUCCACUUGUCAGCCCCUCAGCUGCCAUGUAAGGUGAGCUUUGUCCUGUCUGCAGGAAGGGCUCUGACCUUCACAGCUGGUGCUCAGCCUCAAUUAGCGCAGACAGCCCUGCCUGGGCCUGACAACAAGCAAAUGAACAUGAAUGAGCUCUGAGCUGCACUAGCAUCCAUCUUCAGUCCCCUCCCAGCCAAGUGAGAAGUCAAGAGCCACCUCUAGGGAGAGUCAGAAGUAGCCCUGGGCCCAGUAGUCCUUUGUCUUCUCUUGAGGAGAUGUGACAUCUAGCUGGCAUCUUCCAGCUUCAGGGCACACCUGGGUUCCACUCCUCCUUGACCUUGGAUCCAUCCCAGUUUGGCAUCAAGACACUGUGCCAGUGAGUUGGGAUACCAAGAUGUCCUGAAGAAGAAGGCAGGCCCUAGAAGAAAGGCUAUUUACCCUGACUCAAGGGACAGAUGCUCUAUGGCUUCUAGGGAAGAUUUGGGGAAACAGGGUCACCUCUAGUGUGGACACCAGGUACAGUACAGACAAGGAGACUAACCUAUGCACCACAUGGACCCUUAGGUCAAGAGGCAACUCUCAUUGUCAUCCUACCCCUUCCAGAACUUUGUGUCUGUGGAGUUGGGUGUUGGCUUUCUCCUGGUUCCCUUUAAAGGAAGGCAAGUAGAUUGCCCUCUCCAAACUCAAAUCUCCUGGGACUGAUGCUUUUACGUGACAGCUCCUAACCAACACCUGGGUGAGGCAUUGCCCUGUAGCUGGGCCUGCAGGCUUUGGCUCUGAACCUUCAAGGAGUUCUUGGCACCUGUGAACUGGUAGCCUGUCCACAUCUCACCUCAGCCACAUCAGCGAUCUGCUGGAACCUCAUCUUUUUUUGUAUCUGGCUGGUGCCUUAUACAUUCCCUGCAGGGUGUAUCCUACCCUCCUGUGUUAAAUUGCAGUGAGUGAAUUCCUCUUUAAGGGCUGCAGCUAUAGCUUGUUGUGUUGUAGCAGAUGCUGUCCCUAGUUUGGUGUUUUUGUGUCGUAGUUGUCAACUUACCUUCAUGUAAAAUAUUCUUGGGGCUGUGUCAGUGUUGUGCACAUUGCACUAGACUUUCUAUUUUGCUGUGCACUUGGUGGCUUCCUUCAUAUGUGACCCAUCUGCUCCAUGGACACCUGCACUGAUCUCCACAUUGCCUUCCAGUUGCUGCCAUGGCUUUGUGAGCAGAUGCUGCUGCUACUGGAUGUCUAUUUUCUCAUAAAAGUAAAUGUGUUUCCAACCUGCUUACUGUGCUCUGUCAGGUUCCCUAAUAGUGUGGAGGGAUGCCCUCAAAGAAGCCACCAGCUUUCUCCACUGAGGAUAGUGAGCUGCAAGAUCAGGGUCCCAGCUGGUCACUGCUCAGGAGUGUCUAGGAAGCUCCAGUGACCAAGCUCAUGAGAGUAUAAUAUGUAAUUCAGAAAAGUUAUCACUACUGUACAAUGGGGUGAAGGUGGAGACAGCAGCAAGACAUCAUCCUGCCUUUUGACCCCAGAUACUAAGAUGCCAAGUUAGGGUUUGGUUGUUCAGUGCCUGUAGUAGGGACCCUGAGGAAAACUUGGGAAUUGGCCAUUCAUUCUCCACUUAAGGCAGCUGUUCUCAACAAGGGGUGAUCCUGCAAGAGACACUUAAAUUUGGUGGGGUUUUGUUGUUUUGUUUUGUAUUUCACAUGCAUUGGUGUUUUGCUAGCAUGUAUGCCUGUGUGAAGAUGUCAGACCUAGAACUGUAGUUACAGAUGGUUGUGAGCUGCCAUGUUGGUGCUGGGAAUUGAUCCCAGGUCCUCUGAAGAGCAGCCAGUGCUAUUAACCACUGAGCUAUCUCUCCAGCCCUGCAAGAGACAACUAAUGGUUCCAGGGGACAGUUUUGUUUGGAGGAUCUGAUGGGUAGAGAGAGGCAAACCUCAUAGUAUACAGGUCAACCCCACAACAGCAACAGGGAGUGCUGGAACCAUUUUGUUACUCAGGAAGCUAGGGAUAAAGCAGGGCUUACAAUCAACAGAAACACAAGAGGAACCUUUUUCUUUUCUGAUCCAUUCUCCUGCAGCCCCCAAACCAAUCUUAAAAUGAAGUAAAAGGGUCAUUUGAGCUUUCAAGAUCUAGAGUAGCUGAGAUACAAUAGUGACCUCCAUCUCAAAAACAGGGUGGGGGUGAAGCUGGAGGUUUAGCCUGGUGAUGAAAUACAAACAACCUACUUGAGACCCUGGUUUCAGGUCCCAUCCCUAGAAUUUGCAAACAGGAAGGGAGGCUGGAGAGAUGGCUCAGUGAUUUAAGAGCACCAGUUGCUCUUUGAGAGGACCCAUGUUUGAUUCUCAGUACCUCUAUGGCAGCUUGCAAACAUCUGUAACUACAGUUCCAGGAGAUCCUUUUCCUGCUCUCCGUAGGCCCACGCAAGUGGUUCACAGACAUACAAACAAGCAAAACAGCUAUAUACAUACAACAAAAAUUGAAAAAUAGAUCCCUCCCCUUCAAGACUUUCAGUGCCUCCCAGUACACUUAGAAUGAGAUCUUAGUUCUGGAAUGGCUUUAGAACUGUUAUUUGAUCUGAUCCUUGCCCAUCUUGUCCCAUUCUCCCCUUGUUUACCAGGUCCAAAUGACCUUUGCACACACUACUUCUUUUGAAUGUUUUUAACUCUUCCUUUCAUCUUUCCCUUUUGUUAUCUUGGUCAUCAGACUCUUCAGUCUACCACUUGUGGGGUAUCCAGCAGAGAAGGCUGAGACAUGGGUUUAAGCCAAUAAAGUCUUUAUUAGCUGGCCAGCACCUACCCUGUGUGUUUGGGAUCCCAGUUCAGCACUGAGCCUUUCCAAGGUGAGCUUUUCAGCACAAAAACCAUGUCAUGAGUCGACAUACUCAGUAAACAAGAACAGUUUUAGCCAGAAGCAGAAUUACAGAAGCCAAAAAGCAAAGUUAGUAUGUUUCCCAGACUUUGAUGGAUUAGUCUUUGGUUUUGUGUUGUCAAGUGGUGCUGUCUACAUGAUGAAUUUAUGACCUGAAUGGUGCUUCCAUUAUGGAAUCAGUUAUGCUAAGGUUUGGAGGCCUACUAGGAUCUAGGUACCUGUUACAUUCUCCACUGGUCUUAGUGAAUGAGUCAAAUUGUGGACUCAUCCCACUCUAAAGAGGUAUAGUUGGUCCUAAAGACCAUUAAUUUUACCAAAUUGUUAGCUGGGCAUUUGGUGGCACAAGCCUUUAAUCCCAGCACUCGGGAGGCAGAGGCAGGCGGAUCUCUGAGUUCUAGACCAGCUUGGUCUACAAGAGCUAGUUCCAGGACAGCCUCCAAAGCCACAGCGAAACCCUGUCUCCAAAAAAAAAAAUUUACCAAAUUGUUACAUAAUUGGCCAAAUUAGGUGCAGGGGCCCACCUUUAAAAUCCAAUCAGAAUGAAUUAAAGGCCCAGGCAGUGCUGAUAGUGUGAAGGCUAAAGAAACACCAUUUUGUGCUAAUAUCCAUCUUGGUACCCACUACCUGUUAGUCUCUGACUCCAGUCCCUGGAGGAUAAGUUCCCUAUAACUCAUAACGCCCACCCGGAAAUGCACAGCUGUGACCAUCUCCUUUAUGCUAUGACUGUUAGUUACUGUGGCCUGUUUAUGCAGACAUUCAAGGACUAUUUUGAGUUCUCCCUGGCUACCUUGGAAGAUACUCAAGAUCUUAUGGGUUUUGCCUUUAAAAAUCCUUCCCUUGGCCCCUUCACACAGCAGUCUCUAGUUUGGCUCAGAGGUUGCUGUCCUGCUAGCAGGUUCAAUAAAUGGAACUAAUUAUA